UUGAUUCAUUUUCGAAACGCCCGCUAGGGGCGCCGAGAUGGUUCAGAAUUAUAAAAGUCCGCGAGGGACAUACAAAAGAGUUUUGGUUGGUCCUCCGGCGGGCGCCUUGGUCCGGGGCUGCGACGCACCCGGGGCGUGACCCCGCCGAGGCAACAGUUUGGUAACGUUCACAUUGGGUUUGGGAGUUGUAAACUCGGUAAUGAUCCCUCCGCUGGUUCACCAACGGAGA
rnacentral:misc_RNA from 1 species